UAGAACCUUCAACUGAAGUGUCUAAACCUCUUCUUUCUCUCUCCAGGAUCGCAACUUUCAUUAAACAACAAGAAGAACCAGAACACGCGCUUCUACCAACCUUACCUGGACCUCAACGUCCCAAUCCAGAAUCUCUACUUCGGCGGAGAAUCUCUUCCCAGAACUGGGCAAUAGACUGUUCCUGAAGCGAAAAGCUCACCUACUACACUGGCAUCGCCUACCUCACCAAUGCCUGCGAGGAGACUCGUUCAAGUUUCGUAUCAACGGACUCGGGAGUGUCCUCAAUUUGGGAGGUCAAAGUGGUCGCAGGCUCAGAAACUCGCUUAGAACGUUGGGCUUGAUCUUCUCUGUCACGGAGAGUACCAUCCAGUAUUUCACCGACAGGGAUGACAUUAACAGCACCGUUGCUGGGCUCGUAAGUGGUGCUCUGUAUAUGGUGGCAGGGGCCAAGGUCGGCUGCGACUGUGGGAGUCUUAGGUGUAUUGCAGCGGCGGCUAGGAAGAGGAAAUACGUUCCGAUAUUGGGAUAGGAAUAGGUUUGAUCUUCAUGAGAAUAGAAUUGGAGAUGAUUGGAAUGCUAAGCAUUGAGCAGAACGAAGUCAGAUUUCAACAUCAACCCUAGUUCGGAUAGGCUUGAGCUUAAUUCCUAAACUUGCCGGAGAGAGGAGUUCUGGUGCUAUGCGUGAAUGAUUGCCAGAGGGGCUGGCUGGAUUCGAGCCGUUGCUUGAUGAUGAAGCAAAAUAUUGUUGUCUUUGGUAGCCAAAACCCAUCAAGAAACACUCAAGUGGAAAUAUCAUGGAAUUUGGAUGCUCUUCUGUUACUAGUGAGCCACAAGCUUGAACCUGAGCAGGACUACCUACCUCAACAAAUGCACAGAUUUUCCGGUCAAUUUUUGUGCUCAUGUAGACAGAUUCAGCAUGGAAGGGACUACUUUCACCUGCAAAUAUGAGUGUCUUACAUUGCAAGUUCUUCAGACCCUCAGUGAGAUCCUGCCUUCUGCAAGUUCAUGUAAAAGGAAUUAUAAUUUGCUAAGUUUUCUGUCA